rnacentral:piRNA from 1 species
GACCUGCUUCUGGGUCGGGGUUU